rnacentral:rRNA from 2 species
CGUGCAUAACACAUGCAAGUCGAACGAUGAAACUUAAAAGAUUUCUUCGGAAUGAACUUAAGUGGAUUAGUGGCGAACGGGUGAGUAACGCGUGAGUAACCUGCCUUACACAAGGGGAUAGCCUCUGGAAACGGAGAAUAAUACCCUAUGACAUUACAACCUCGCAUGAGGAAGUAAUCAAAGUGUUUUAGCGGUGUAAGAUGGACUUGCGUCUGAUUAGCUAGUUGGUGAGAUAACAGCCCACCAAGGCAACGAUCAGUAGCCGGCUUGAGAGAGUGUACGGCCACAUUGGGACUGGGACACGGCCCAGACUCCUACGGGAGGCAGCAGUGGGGAAUUUUGCACAAUGGGGGCAACCCUGAUGCAGCGACGCCGCGUGAUUUAGAAGGCCUUCGGGUUGUAAAAAUCUUUUGUAUAGGAAGAAAAUGACAGUACUAUACGAAUAAGGUCCGGCUAAUUACGUGCCAGCAGCCGCGGUAAUACGUAAGGACCGAGCGUUGUCCGGAAUCAUUGGGCGUAAAGGGUACGUAGGCGGUUAGAAAAGUUAGAAGUGAAAGGCUAUAGCUCAACUAUAGUAAGCUUUUAAAACUGUUUAACUUGAGAGAUGGAAGGGAAAGUGGAAUUCCUAGUGUAGCGGUGAAAUGCGCAGAUAUUAGGAGGAAUACCGGUGGCGAAGGCGACUUUCUGGCCAUUAUCUGACGCUGAGGUA